AAUAUUGGACAAUGGGCGAAAGCCUGAUCCAGCCAUGCCGCGUGUGUGAAGAAGGUCUUCGGAUUGUAAAGCACUUUAAGUUGGGAGGAAGGGCCGCAGGUUAAUACCUUGCUGCUUUCACGUUACCGACAGUAUAAGAACCGGCUAACACCGUGCCAGCAGCCGCCGUAAUAGGAAGGGUGCAAGCGGUAAAGUGCAUUACUGGGCGUAAAGGGGGCGUAGGUGGUUUGUUAAGUUGGAAGUGAAAGCCCCGGGCUCAACCGGGGAACUGCUUUCAAAACUGGCAAGCUGGAGUAUGGCAGAGGGUGGUGGAAUUUCCUGUGUAGCGGUGAAAUGCGUAGAUAUAGGAAGGAACACCAGUGGCGAAGGCGACCACCUGGGCUAAUACUGACACUGAGGUGCGAAAGCGUGGGGAGCAAAC
rnacentral:rRNA from 1 species